GUGAGGAAUAUUGGACAAUGGAGGAAACUCUGAUCCAGCAUGCCGCGUGAGUGAUGAAGGCCUUCGGGUUGUAAAGCUCUUUCGGGUGUGAAAAUGAUGAUGGUAACACCAGAAGAAGCCCCGGCUAACUCCGUGCCAGCAGCCGCGGUAAUACGGAGGGGGCGAGCGUUGUUCGGAAUCACUGGGCGUAAAGCGUGCGUAGGCGGUUAUACAAGUCAGGAGUGAAAUCCCAGGGCUCAACCUUGGAAUUGCUUUUGAGACUGUAUGACUAGAGAUCUAGAGAGGUUGGGGGAAUUCCGAGUGUAGAGGUGAAAUUCGCAGAUAUUCGGAGGAACACCAGUGGCGUAGGCGCCCAACUGGCUAGAUACUGACGCUGAGGCACGAAAGCGUGGGGAGCAAACAGGAUUAGAAACCCGAGUAGUCC
rnacentral:rRNA from 1 species